GAUGAACGCUGGCGGCGUGCUUAACACAUGCAAGUCGAACGGAAAGGCUCCUGCUUGCAGGGGUACUCGAGUGGCGAACGGGUGAGUAACACGUGGGUGAUCUGCCCUGCACUUCGGGAUAAGCCUGGGAAACUGGGUCUAAUACCGGAUAGGACGAUGGUUUGGAUGCCAUUGUGGAAAGUUUUUCGGUGUGGGUUGAGCUCGGGGCCUAUCAGCUUGUUGGUGGGUAAUGGCCUACCAAGGCGGCGACGGGUAGCCGGCCUGGGAGGGUGUACGGCCUCAUUGGGACUGCGAUACGGCCCAGACUCCUACGGGAGGCAGCAGUGGGGAAUAUUGCACAAUGGGCGCAAGCCUGAUGCAGCGACGCCGCGUGGGGGAUGACGGCCUUCGGGUUGUAAACUCCUUUCGCUAGGGACGAAGCGCAAGUGACGGUACCUGGAGAAGAAGCACCGGCUAACUACGUG
rnacentral:rRNA from 1 species